CUGGAGCUCAGAGGGAGUGAGUCCAAGUAAGUCCAUGCACCAGCCCUUUAAGAGUAAUUGCCUGGGACUUCAGCAACCUUCUCCAUUUCAUUCAGCCACAGUC